rnacentral:rRNA from 1 species
GACGAACGCUGGCGGCGUGCUUAACACAUGCAAGUCGAACGGAGUUCCUUGGAUAGAGGCUUCGGCCAAUUGAAAUGGAACUUAGUGGCGGACUGGUGAGUAACGCGUGAGGAACCUGCCUUUCAGAGGGGGACAACAGUUGGAAACGACUGCUAAUACCGCAUGACACAUUCGGAUGGCAUCACCUGAAUGUCAAAGAUUUUAUCGCUGAAAGAUGGCCUCGCGUCUGAUUAGCUAGUUGGUGAGGUAACGGCCCACCAAGGCGACGAUCAGUAGCCGGACUGAGAGGUUGACCGGCCACAUUGGGACUGAGAUACGGCCCAGACUCCUACGGGAGGCAGCAGUGGGGAAUAUUGGGCAAUGGACGCAAGUCUGACCCAGCAACGCCGCGUGAAGGAAGAAGGCUUUCGGGUUGUAAACUUCUUUUCUUAAGGACGAUAGUGACGGUACUUAAGGAAUAAGCCACGGCUAACUACGUG